rnacentral:miRNA from 1 species
CCCCUGCUGAGGUUCUGCUUC